UUAGUUCGUGGAGUGAUCUGUCUGCUUAAUUGCGUUUCAAAUUUUUAACCGAGGACCGGGUUUUGGUUUGGCUAGUGGUCCUACGAUGACUGUGAACUGUCAUGUCUUCGGAUGUACGACUAUCGGUCUAGGAUCACAUGACUUGCCCCUGGGACUCUUUUGAACGCAACGGACGUGAUUGCAACCCCUUGUUGAGAUUAGAGAUAGUCUCGAUAUUCACUGGCCAAACUGGCUGCUUUAUGCAGUCUUGUUGAAUGGUGGAUAAACUCGGGGGACUGCUGACUAUAACCAUUUCUCAAAACAGAGGAAGGUUGCGGCAAUAACAGGUCUGUGAUGCCCUCAGAUGUCCCGGGCUGCACACGUGCUACAAUGAGUGGCGCAAUGUGCUAAUGUUUUAAGGGAUAAGCGUGCGGCCAGUAGAACGUCGGCAAUUGCCCUGGCGUCUUCUACCGCACGAUUAUCAGCCUUCCCUUAACAGGGCGGGCAACCUUUUCAAAAUACCGGUUUGAUGUUAAAGUAUAGAGUCGUUUUUUUUGGAUGGUGGUUUACGAACCAAUACCAUCCGCAACUGCUCGCGAGUUUGUGGUUCUGGUGACUC
rnacentral:rRNA from 1 species